rnacentral:rRNA from 1 species
CGGCGUGCCUAAUACAUGCAAGUCGAGCGAACGGACGAGAAGCUUGCUUCUCUGAUGUUAGCGGCGGACGGGUGAGUAACACGUGGAUAACCUACCUAUAAGACUGGGAUAACUUCGGGAAACCGGAGCUAAUACCGGAUAAUAUUUUGAACCGCAUGGUUCAAAAGUGAAAGACGGUCUUGCUGUCACUUAUAGAUGGAUCCGCGCUGCAUUAGCUAGUUGGUAAGGUAACGGCUUACCAAGGCAACAAUGCAUAGCCGACCUGAGAGGGUGAUCGGCCACACUGGAACUGAGACACGGUCCAGACUCCUACGGGAGGCAGCAGUAGGGAAUCUUCCGCAAUGGGCGAAAGCCUGACGGAGCAACGCCGCGUGAGUGAUGAAGGUCUUCGGAUCGUAAAACUCUGUUAUUAGGGAAGAACAUAUGUGUAAGUAACUGUGCACAUCUUGACGGUACCUAAUCAGAAAGCCACGGCUAACUACGUGCCAGCAGCCGCGGUAAUACGUAGGUGGCAAGCGUUAUCCGGAAUUAUUGGGCGUAAAGCGCGCGUAGGCGGUUUUUUAAGUCUGAUGUGAAAGCCCACGGCUCAACCGUGGAGGGUCAUUGGAAACUGGAAAACUUGAGUGCAGAAGAGGAAAGUGGAAUUCCAUGUGUAGCGGUGAAAUGCGCAGAGAUAUGGAGGAACACCAGUGGCGAAGGCGACUUUCUGGUCUGUAACUGACGCUGAUGUGCGAA